GACUCUGUAGCUCAGUUGGUUAGAGCGCUGCACCGGAAUCGCAGUGGCGCAGGUUUUAUUCCUGCCUGCA